rnacentral:rRNA from 1 species
AUGGGGAAGAAAGGCCUCACCUCCAUCUUUUCCAAGCUCCCCGCCGGCGCCGACGAGCCUUCUCCGCCGUGGCCGUGGCCGUCGUGCCGGAAUCCCCAGACGGCCUCCUUCCGUGAGGAAGACCGCCGCCGGCCCUGCAGAACCGCCGCCGCCGUCAGCAGGAGCCCCGCGGCUGCGGCGAGGCUCAUCCACGGCGGCGCCGGGGAAAUGUACAAGACGGUCAACUCCGUCUACCAGCUUGACUACAUCUCCGCCGACGGCUCCUGCUUCGACGACGAGGAGGAGGCGGGGCAGGACGUGCUGGAGCUGGAUGACGAUGAUGGUUUCUCGACGACGACCGCGUCGGAGGAGUGGUCUGAGGCGGUGAUCCGCAGCCUCGGCCGCACGUCCACCGACCGCUUCUUCGUCGACCCUCCGGGCCCGGCGUCCAACUCCAUCUUGGCGCUUUCGCCGGCGAAGCAGUCGGCGGCAGCACCAGCGGACGAGGCCGAGGAGAAGCCGCAAUCGGAGCCGUUGGCGUCGACGUCGCUGGUGGAGGAGAGCGUGGCGGUGGCGGUGGACUCGGAGGACCCGUACGGGGACUUCCGGGCGUCCAUGGAGGAGAUGGUGGCCGCGCACGGGCUGCGCGGCUGGGAAGCGCUCGAGGAGCUCCUCGUGUGGUACCUCCGUAUCAACGGCAAGCACAACCACGCACUCAUCGUCGGCGCCUUCGUCGACCUCCUGGUCGGCCUUGCGGCCCCGCCAGCGUCGUCCUCUUCCGCCGCGCCAACCACCACCACCACAGCGACGACGAUGACGACCACCAGCGCCAGCGGCGGCAGCGGGAGCACCGCCAGCACCAGCACGUCCAGCAGCACAUGUGGCUGCGAGGGCGACGUCACUCCCGCCACCGCAACGACAGAGGAGCAAUGCGGCGGCCGGAACGGCGACGCCUCGCGCUCGCCUGCUUCAUCAAACCACAGCCUGCAGUGCAAGGACGACGAGGAGGAGGAGGAGGAGGAGGACCUCGCCGGCGACAAGGCAGGUGACGAUCUUAGCAUCAUGAGGAGUGCACACUAG